CUUCCUCCAGUUCACGUUUUGUUACAUCACCCAAUAUGGUAAUGUGAUGAUAGCUUCCGUAAAUAGCUGGACGGAGUAAGUCGUUAAAUCCCGCAUUUAUAAGCGCAUAUCGUUUCGAGCCCAUUGUUUUUACUGCAUGCACUUUAGUAACAAGAGUCCCACUUUCGGCGACUAGAAAACGACCCGGUUCCACUUCUAAUGUUAUUGAAUGUCCAAAAUGAUUUUCGAUUUUCUUUCUUGCUGCAUCCCACAAAUCAAAAUAGUUAGUACCCGAUCCAUCAACGUUGGCAACAUCGACAUCCGGUUCAUCUUCAAGGUAUGAUAUUGGAAUGCCUCCACCUGCUGAAAUCGCUUUAAUGUCAUGAUUACAUUCAAUUACGCACUGAACCAUGGCACUGCAAGCAUUUUCUAAUUUAUUCGAAAACGAUCCCGAGCCUAAGUGCAUAUGAAAUCCUACUAAAUUUAAGCGAAAAUCUGUAACCACACACAACGCUUCGGCUAAAUCUUCAAACCAAAUUCCAUGUUUGCUAUUUUCGCCUCCUGUGUUUGUCUUCUUACUAUGUCCAUAACCAAAUCCCGGGUUUAUCCGGGUAUAUUCCUCAGGCUGUACUGAACUAUCGACGAAAAAGUACCGUAGGUUGGAGCAUAGAAAAUAUUCUCCUCGAUUUUACCGGUGGAAUGCUUAGUAUGCUACAGAUUUUACUAAACGGAUACAAUUACGAUGACUGGGUGUCCAUAUUCGGUGAUCCCACAAAAUUCGGUCUGGGCCUAUUUUCGGUGUGUUUCGAUAUUUUAUUUAUGGUUCAACAUUAUGGUCUUUACAGACACAGCAGAAAAACAGUAAAAAAAGAUGAGAAUGUGAUUGAAAGUGAUAAUAAAGUUGAA